GCACCGGAGCCUACUCUUUCGUAGAUUUCGUAUUUGGCGAUGAUCUCGGGUCGGGUAUGUAUACUCCAACUCUUGGAGUGGGCUGAGGAUGGUAGUGGCUGGUCCAUGUUCUUGUUGGCUGGCGGUGUUAGCCUCUGGUUUUUGGAGGUCUGAUCUCGGCAGUGAUAUUGGUGUGUUCUUUAGUUCCUUUUCUUUUCUUGUUCUAGUUAAUUAAAUUUAUUAAUACUCAAAUUGACUGUGGUUAGAGUGACUAAUAUGCCCCUCCAAUAAAUGUGUCUUUUUUUUCCUCCCAAAAAUUACUGUACAGGUGAAGAUAAUAAUUACUACUUUAUUUGUUUUAAUAUUUAAUUAAUUAAUAGUAGUAUAUAUAUAUAUAUAUAUAUAUAUAUGGAUCUUUUCCAAGCAGAACAUGCAGAAAUAAAAACUGCACUUUCAAUUAUCAAGAAUGACCAAUUAACAGUUAAAGCUAACCGGAACAAAAUGGCCGACAUAUAAAAAGGUAUACAAGUUUUGACCUUUCUUUUUCUCUCAUAUUUCUUUUCCUAAAAAGACUAUCAACAAUAUCAAAACACAAUUAAAUAGUUUCAGUAGCAGCAAUUUCCAUCAGCCAGUUCACUAGGUUACAUCAAUUCAAUAAUGACAACAAUCAUAAACUAUACACGAAUCAAAUCAGCCGCAUGGCCCCAUCAAACAAAAAUAACAUAAAAAAAAAAACUCAGUUUUUUACCUGGCCAAAAUCAGCCAACUUGAGAAUACCAUCCUCUGAAAUCAACAGAUUACCAGGCUUCAAAUCCCGAUGCACAAUCAUAUUCCUAUGGCAAGCAUCAACACCACACAAUAUCUGCACCAUCCAUCUCUUAACCUCUCCAACACUAAUCCCGUUCUUUUUCCCUUCCUUAAUUACAGCAGCCAAAUCCGUUCUCAGGAACUCCAAAACCAAAACGGCGUCCUCAUCUUCUCUCCAAAAGUACUCGUGCAUAAUCACAACAUUAGGGCAGUUCUGGAGCAUCUGUAAGGCCUCGAUUUCACGGAAAGCCGAUUGAUAGUCGUGGAUUUCUUUAAGAGCAACGAUGGUGUUAUCUGAGAGACGGCGAGCCUUGUAAACGUCAGAGUAGGCACCGGAGCCUACUCUUUCGUAGAUUUCGUAUUUGGCGAUGAUCUCGGGUCGGGUAUGUAUACUCCAACUCUUGGAGUGGGCUGAGGAUGGUAGUGGCUGGUCCAUGUUCUUGUUGGCUGGCGGUGUUAGCCUCUGGUUUUUGGAGGUCUGAUCUCGGCAGUGAUAUUGGUGUGUUCUUUAGUUCCUUUUCUUUUCUUGUUCUAGUUAAUUAAAUUUAUUAAUACUCAAAUUGACUGUGGUUAGAGUGACUAAUAUGCCCCUCCAAUAAAUGUGUCUUUUUUUUCCUCCCAAAAAUUACUGUACAGGUGAAGAUAAUAAUUACUACUUUAUUUGUUUUAAUAUUUAAUUAAUUAAUAGUAGUAUAUAUAUAUAUAUAUAUAUAUAUAUUUUUUAUGGAUCUUUCUUCUAGAAA
rnacentral:lncRNA from 1 species